rnacentral:rRNA from 1 species
GCGGACGGGUGAGUAAUGUCUGGGAAACUGCCUGAUGGAGGGGGAUAACUACUGGAAACGGUAGCUAAUACCGCAUAACGUCGCAAGACCAAAGAGGGGGACCUUCGGGCCUCUUGCCAUCGGAUGUGCCCAGAUGGGAUUAGCUUGUUGGUGGGGUAACGGCUCACCAAGGCGACGAUCCCUAGCUGGUCUGAGAGGAUGACCAGCCACACUGGAACUGAGACACGGUCCAGACUCCUACGGGAGGCAGCAGUGGGGAAUAUUGCACAAUGGGCGCAAGCCUGAUGCAGCCAUGCCGCGUGUAUGAAGAAGGCCUUCGGGUUGUAAAGUACUUUCAGCGGGGAGGAAGGGAGUAAAGUUAAUACCUUUGCUCAUUGACGUUACCCGCAGAAGAAGCACCGGCUAACUCCGUGCCAGCAGCCGCGGUAAUACGGAGGGUGCAAGCGUUAAUCGGAAUUACUGGGCGUAAAGCGCACGCAGGCGGUUUGUUAAGUCAGAUGUGAAAUCCCCGGGCUCAACCUGGGAACUGCAUCUGAUACUGGCAAGCUUGAGUCUCGUAGAGGGGGGUAGAAUUCCAGGUGUAGCGGUGAAAUGCGUAGAGAUCUGGAGGAAUACCGGUGGCGAAGGCGGCCCCCUGGACGAAGACUGACGCUCAGGUGCGAAAGCGUGGGGAGCAAACAGGAUU